UUUAUUCAAGUUUUCUUGACCUUUUUAACUAACAUUUAUCAAAUUUAUUUGUGUCAAAUUACUUUCAAAUAUUUCUUUAAUUCCAAUGUUUCGAAGUUUCCUCAAUCUUUAAACAUUAUAUUAUAAAAAUAAAAAGCUUGUGCCGGGUUUAUUCUAGAUUGUCAUCGGCAUCUGAGUUAUCAGACGAAACAUUUAUGUCCAAUGUAGCCUCAGAAGCUAAAACUCUGAUGAGACAAUCUAGUAUGUGAGUGGAUUUGAUUACAUUUGACUUGGAAUUGAACCUAAAAGACUCGAAAUUCGUCUUGCAAAUG
rnacentral:lncRNA from 1 species